UACAGAGGGUGCAAGCGUUGUUCGGAUUUAUUGGGCGUAAAGAGCGUGUAGGCGGCCAGGUAGGUCUGGUGUGAAAACUCGAGGCUUAACCUUGAGAUGUCAUCGGAAACCAUUUGGCUAGAGUCCGGAAGAGGAAAGUGGAAUUCCUGGUGUAGCGGUGAAAUGCGCAGAUAUCAGGAAGAACACCAAUGGCGAAAGCAGCUUUCUGGGACGGUACUGACGCUGAGACGCGAAAGCGUGGGGAGCGAACAGG
rnacentral:rRNA from 1 species